GAUAGAUAGAUAGAUAGAUAGAUAGAUAGAUAGAUACAAUAGAUAGAUAGAUAGAUAGAUAGAUAGAUAGAUAGAUAGAUAGAUAGAUAGAUAGAUAGAUAGAUAGAUACUGCUACUUACAGAUAGAUUGAUAGACAUUCAUAAAGAAAGACAGACAGAUAGAUAGAUAGAUAGAUAGAUAGAUAGAUAGAUAGAUAGAUAGAUACUGGUACUUACAGAUAGAUUGAUAGACAUCCAUAAAGAAAGACAGACAGAUAGAUACAAUAGAUAGAUAGAUAGAUAGAUAGAUAGAUAGAUAGAUAGAUAGAUAGACUUAUAGAUAGAAAGCAAUAGAGAAGAAGGGAGGGAGAGCCACUGAGAAAAGGGGUGAAGAGAAGGGGGGAGUGAGAAUGAAGCAUAAGGGACAGUAUAGAGAAGAAGGGAGAUAGCCAGAGACAAUAAGGGAGGACAGUAGGUCAGACACAAAGGAACAUCCAUAGAGAAAGGGAGGACGAUCCAAGUAAGAAACCUUAAAAAGAUUGAAGGGAGAACCAGGCUUGGAGAAGAAAGUGCAACUCAUAUAAAACUGCUCCUCAUAGAUUACAGUUUUCAUCAAACGUCCUAUUCAUAAGAACUCUGGGCUGCAAUAGAUAGUAAAUGACCACAUCACAUAGCACUGGUGGAUAAUUAUGGACUUCCCUUUAAUGUCUUGUGAACUUGAGUAUUUAAGAGUUAAGGACAUAAACAGCUGUGCUGAAUGCCAAGACAUACAUGGAAAAAACUUGAGAGAAACUAGAUCCUCUCUCACACCUUCUUAGCUAUACGAGAAGGAGACUGUGCGACCUCUAAUCUGUCAGCGCCGCACGCAAGACUAGAAGCUUAGUUACAAAGCCGUAGUUACUGCCGGCCAGAAGAGUCUAAAGUAUACAGCUGUCACCACCACAUGUGAGGAAUGUAGCCGUUCCUCAAAACACUUAUUUCUAUUAAAAGACCUAAAGGGUGUAAUUAUUUACAGUGGUCUCCUACAUAUAUCGGAGUGUUUGCUAAUGUUUCUCAGUACUGUACUAUGAUACCACCUCUCUAUUUCAGUAAAGGUGACAUUUCUUAUGUCCUUGGAGGCUUCUAGGAGGACUAAGAAAACACACUGCAUAUGUACAGAGUAAAACAAUAAAUAUCAUGGGGAACAAAGAACACAACAAAUUCAUAACAAAAAAUAAACAUAGGGUUCCAUUUAUUAAACAGUCGAUGCUCCUUCGGAGCCCCAUCGUUUCUGACUCGCCUGAAACGGAAGUUAAAGGGUCAUGAUACCCAAAUGUUUAAACACUUGAAAGUGAUGCAGCAUAGCUGUAAAAAGCUGACUAGAAAAUAUCACCUGAACAUCUCUAUGUAAAAAAGAGAGAUAUUUUACCUCAAAAAUUCCUAAGUAUUUAAACCCCAUUGCAAAGGACUUUAAGCAACAAAUCAGUAUGUCUGUCCCGGGACAGCUAAGGGAGUGAGCACUUAUGUUAUUUCCCUAUUCAGUUUAAGGAAGUUUACUAUGAAAUCUCAUGAGAGUUAAGUGAAAUCUCAUGAGAUCACAGUAAGAGUUCAUGACCUCAGCACUGCUGAUGCUGAUUGCCUGCUGUUCAUUUCUUCAUUUAAAAAAAAAAAAAAAUUACCUGCAGCUGGGCAGCAAAGUAUAUUUUUUUACACAGAACUUACUCUGCUGAGCUGAGGAAAUUGUGAGGUUUAAUAUCUUCUUUUUUUACAUAGAGAUGCUCAGGUGAUAUUUUCCUGUCAGCUUUUUACAGUUAUACUGCAGCAGUUUCAAGUGAUUUAGCAUAUGAGUAUUAUGUACCUUUAAGAAGCAGCCGUCAAAAGACUGCUGCUCCUUAAAGGAAUAGUAAACCCAAAUAUUUUCUUUCAUGAUUCAGAUAAAGCAGGCAAUUUUAAGCAACUUUCUAAUUUACUCCUAUUAUCAUUUUUUCUUCGUUCUCUUGGUAUCUUUAUUUGAAAAAGCAGGAAUGAAAGCUUUGGAGCCAGCCUAUUUUUGGUUCAGUACCCGUAAUAGGGCACCAAGAGAACGAAGAAAAAUUGAUAAUAGGAGUAAAUUAAAAAGUUGCUUAAAAUUGCCGGCUCUAUCUGAAUAAUGAAAGAAAAUAUUUGGGUAUACUAUCCCUUUAACUUGUCCGCCACAAUUAAGGUAGCAAAUUGAAAUCACCCCGAUCCGAUCGGGAUGAUUGACAGCCCCUGCUAGUGGCUGAUUGGCCGCCAGUGAUCAGGGGGCAGCAUUGCACAAGUAUUUCACCAGAAAUGCUUGUGCAAUGUUAAAUGCUAGCUGCGUAUGCUGUCGGCAUUUAGCGAGGUCGAGCGGACAUGAUUCGCUACAUCGAAUCAUGUCCGCUUGACUAAUAAUAGACUAAUGACUAAUAAAUCUACCCCAUAGAGCAAUGAAAAAACUAUUCAUGAAGUUUAAAGGUUCAUAAAAAUAAGUAUUGGAGUGUGAAACAAAUAUUUCGGGCUAGAGUUGGAGCGCAAAAUUACAUGCGCUGGUGUUGGGGUUAAAAUGAGCCUUUACGGGCACAACUGUAAUUCUACUCAUAUUACAAGUGAAAAGUAAAUGUGAUUGGGCAGUUGCAAUUGCGGUUUGCACUUUGGUUAACACCGCUUCUAAAAAGCAUCUAAAAAGUGUAAAAAAAAAAAACAUCAAUAAUACAAUGUACAGUACCGUAAAACUCAUAUUAACACUAGCUAAUAAAAAGUAUUUAAUAAUAAUUUGACAUGGAGAAGUUAUAAGGGGUCAAAGUUAGGAGAUGUGUUAGCAAAAAUCAGGCAGAAAGUGCCUUUACAUAGGAAUCCAUUGCAACAACUUUAUUAGCACAGUAAACGCUUGAACGUAAGCGUUAAUUAGCGCUCCACUUGUAAUCUGGCCUACGAUGUUCUAAUGCCGUGAAGGUCACUUUUCUAACACAUGGGGGCCACAGAUUUGUAUUUUAGAAGCCUCAAGGGCUGCAUAAAAAUUUACGGCUACACACAAAUAAAAAGUAGUGCUUUGCUGCUCUUAAGCAUACCAAGGUAUUCUGUUCAACAAAGGAUAGCAGGAGAACGAAGAAAAUUAUAUAACAGAAGUACAUUGGUAAGUGGUUUAAAAUCACAUGCUCUAUGUGAACAUUAAAAAAAAAAUAGGUUUAAUUUCCCUUUAAGAGAUUUGAACAGGGGGAAUUAUCUGCAUAGAAGACAUGUAUGUUUGUUGGGUUAUUGAGAUUGCCAAUUUUUAUUAGUGCAAAAGUUCUUCAUGUUCAUUUUUUCUUUAACGGUAGCGUUUGUAUCUGUUUGGAUGACUGUGCUCUCUGAUGUCAUCCAAUAUGGCGGGGUAAUUUCAGUGGUGCAAAACCAAUGUUACAUUUGGCAGUUUUGGGGUACUUGUGUUGUUUGGGGUUUAUCAAGUUCUCUUAGCUGUUUAAUUUGAAAAUCGUAAUUGUGUCAUUAAGUGCCAAGAAUUUAGACUGUGAUCAGAAAACCAUUGUAGGCCAAUUUUUCACCAAAAUGACAAUGAAAAAAAUUACUGCUGCUAAACAAUGAAAAUUGCUAAUUGUGAUUGUAUCGACAUAGAAAACAGCCAAUUGUCAGCCAUUGACAUGCCAAUAUUAUCAAACUAUAGGUUGUGUAAUCGCCCCCACAGUUACAUGAAAGCAUUUGUACAAUAAUAAAAGACUAAAAUGCAUUAAAGGAUCUUAUGUGCAUAA